rnacentral:rRNA from 1 species
AUUGAACGCUGGCGGCAGGCUUAACACAUGCAAGUCGAGCGGGGAAAGGUAGCUUGCUACCUGACCUAGCGGCGGACGGGUGAGUAAUGCUUAGGAAUCUGCCUAUUAGUGGGGGACAACAUCUCGAAAGGGAUGCUAAUACCGCAUACGUCCUACGGGCGAAAGCAGGGGACCUUCGGGCCUUGCGCUAAUAGAUGAGCCUAAGUCGGAUUAGCUAGUUGGUGGGGUAAAGGCCUACCAAGGCGACGAUCUGUAGCGGGUCUGAGAGGAUGAUCCGCCACACUGGGACUGAGACACGGCCCAGACUCCUACGGGAGGCAGCAGUGGGGGAUAUUGGGCCAUAGGGGGAACCCUGAUCCAGCCAUGCCGCGUGUGUGAAGAAGGCCUUUUGGUUGUAAAGCACUUUAAGCGAGGAGGAGGCUACCGAGAUUAAUACUCUUGGAUAGUGGACGUUACUCGCAGAAUAAGCACCGGCUAACUCUGUG